GGUUUGAUAAAGCCUCCGGAUAGUCUUCGCCCUUUUUAUCUUCCACAGAACCAUGGUGGUAGUUACGGGCACUUGACUCUUAAUAUCUCGGAACAUGUUGAUGAUUGCUUGGGUCCGCUGGAUGCGGAAGAUAAACAAGAUCAAGACCUUGUCAUCGCUGAGAACAUGUUGAUGAUUGCUUGGGUCCGCUAGAUGCGGAAGAUAAACAAGAUCAAGACCUUGUCAUCGCGGAUAAAAAAGAACCACUUGUUGUUUCAACAGGUCCUGCUGUGUAUUACCCGAAUCCUCCAAACCCUUCAAAGGUCCUUUAUAUCAACAAGAAAGAGGCACCUCUUCUCAGGGUAGAGAGGGGUGUUCCAGUGAAGUUU
rnacentral:lncRNA from 1 species